GUGAGGAAUUUUCCGCAAUGGGCGAAAGCCUGACGGAGCAAUGUCGCGUGAAGGAUGAAGGCCUAUGGGUUGUAAACUUCUUUUCUCAGAAAAGAAUUAUGACGGUAUCUGAGGAAUAAGCAUCGGCUAACUCUGUGCCAGCAGCCGCGGUAAGACAGAGGAUGCAAGCGUUAUCCGGAAUGAUUGGGCGUAAAGCGUCUGUAGGUUGUUUAAAAAGUAUUCUGUCAAAGAUUAGGGCUUAACCCUAGAUAGGCAGAAUAAACUUUUAAGCUAGAGUUUGGUAGAGGCAGAGGGAAUUCCCGGUGGAGCGGUGAAAUGCGUAGAUAUCGGGAGGAACACCAAAGGCGAAGGCACUCUGCUGGGCCAAUACUAACACUGAGAGACGAAAGCGAGGGGAGCAAAUGGGAUUAGAUACCCCGGUAGUCC
rnacentral:rRNA from 1 species